CUACGUGCCAGCAGCCGCGGUAAUACGUAGGUGGCGAGCGUUAUCCGGAAUUAUUGGGCGUAAAGGGUGCGUAGGCGGCCUGUUAAGUAAGUGGUUAAAUUGUUGGGCUCAACCCAAUCCAGCCACUUAAACUGGCAGGCUAGAGUAUUGGAGAGGCAAGUGGAAUUCCAUGUGUAGCGGUAAAAUGCGUAGAUAUAUGGAGGAACACCAGUGGCGAAGGCGGCUUGCUAGCCAAAGACUGACGCUCAUGCACGAAAGCGUGGGGAGCAAAUAGGAUUAGAUACCCUAGUAGUCCACGCCGUAAACGAUGAAUACUAAGUAUUGGGGAAACUCAGUGCUGCAGCUAACGCAAUAAGUAUUCCGCCUGUGGAGUAUGCACGCAAGUGUGAAACAUAAAGGAAUUGACGGGGGCCCGCACAAGCGGUGGAGUAUGUGGUUUAAUUCGACGCAACGCGAAGAACCUUACCAGGCCUUGACAUCCCUUGCAAAGCUGUAGAGAUA
rnacentral:rRNA from 1 species